rfam:Zea mays cultivar B73 chromosome 7, whole genome shotgun sequence.
ACUCUCGUAUUCACCUCAAUCCAUGUGUAUUGAGGUGGAUUGGGGUGUAACUUAAACUAAUUUACACCAUAAUCCACCUCAAUACACGUGGAUUGAGGUGAAUACGAGA